CGCCCAUGCUGAACCGGUGAUACUAACCGCCCGAAGCAUCCUCGACCUCACUCUUUGAGUGGGGAGAGUGGUGUGGAGCGCGGGACCUGAACUGGGGAGGCAAGCGCAUUAACA
rnacentral:rRNA from 1 species